ensembl:lncRNA
GUAAUAGUAGUAAUAGUGGUGGUAGUAGUAGUAAUAGUAGUAGUUAUAAUAUUAGACGUAGUAGUGGUAGAAGUAGUAAUAGUAAGUAGUAGUAGUGCAGUAGUAGUAGUAGAGGUAUGUAGUAAUAUUAGUAGUAGCUGUGGUAGUAGUAGUAGCAGCAGCAGUAGUAAUAGUAGUGGUAGUAGCAGUAGUAAUAGUAGUGGUAGUCGUAGUAGUGGUAGUAGUAGCAGUAGUAAUAGUUGUAGUAGUAGCAGUAGUAAUAGUAGUGGUAGUAGCAGUAGUAGUGGUAGUAGCGGUAGCAGUAGUAAUAGUAGUGGUAGUAGUAGCAGUAGUAGUGGUAGUAGUAGCAGUAGUAGUGGUAGUAGUAGUAGGAGUAGUAGGAGUAGAAGUGGUGGUAGUAGUAGUAGUGGUAGUAGCGGUAGCAGUAGUAAUAGUAGUGGUAGUAGUAGUAGGAGUAGUAGGAGUAGUGGUGGUAGUAGUGUAGUAGUAGUAGUAGUAAUAGUAGUGGUAGUAGUAGUGUAGUAGCGGUAGUAGUAGUAAUAGUAGUGGUAGUAGUAGUGUAGUAGCGGUAGUAGUAGUAUAGUAGUGGUAGUAGUAGUGUAGUAGCGGUAGUAGUAGUAAUAGUAGUGGUAGUAGUAGUGUAGUAGCGGUAGUAGUAGUGUAGUAGCGGUAGUAGUAGUAAUAGUAGUGGUAGUAGUAGUGUAGUAGUGGUAGUAGUAGUAAUAGUAGUGGUAGUAGUAGUGUAGUAGCGGUAGUAGUAGUAUAGUAAGUGGUAGUAGUAGUGUA